rnacentral:rRNA from 1 species
AAGGAGGAAACUCCGCCAAGGGAUUGGGAUAUGCUCUAUUAGCUAGUUGGCGGGAUAAAAGCCCACCAAGGCGAUGAUAGAUAGCUGGUCUAAGAGGAUGAACAGCCACAAUGGGAUUGAGAUACGGCCCAUAUUCCUACGGGAAGCAGCAGUAGGGAAUCUUCCACAAUGGGCGAAAGCCUGAUGGAGCAAUGCCAUGUGAACGAUGAAGGCCUAUUGGUCGUAAAGUUCUUUUAGGGGGGAAGACAAAAGGACGGUACCUCCUGAAUAAGUGACAGCAAACUAUGUGCCAGCAGCUGCGGUAAUACAUAGGUCGCGAGCGUUAUUCGGAUUUAUUGGGCGUAAAGCAAGCGCAGGCGGAUGGAUAAGUUCUGUGUGAAAAGCAGCUGCUCAACAGCUGUUGGCGCCGAAUACUAUCCAUCUAGAAUA